GUGUGAAUCAUGGUGAUACAGUGAAAGACGGUGAUUCACGGCUUUGGAGGGCAUGCAUGUGUAUGAUUAAGGGAUAUAAGUGCAGGACUCCCAAGAUUUACUUCCUUCCUGUUCCAGCAGGGUCACCUGAGGGGAGUGAGUAAUGGGAUAAUUUAUAACGCCACAGGCCCGUUGUCAAGAGACCUCUAGUCAAAACAGGAAGAUAAGACUCAGAAGAUUUCAACUGGAAGAAUGCAACUUUUGAUACUCUCUGGAUCUACCUCUUAAUUGCAAGCAGGAGAGUCUUCAGAAUUUUCCUGUUUUUAUCUUUCCAAGGAGAUAAAUGCUCGUUAAAAAGGUAAAAUCAUCUGGUGGAGUUAUUCCAUUGUACUUAUCCUUGGAGAUCUAGGACUUGAUUUAUAAGAUUCUGACAAAAUUUUCAUCCUCAGACUUGAUGUCCACUUUACCAGCUAAAGGUUCCCAGGAGCUGUUGAGUCCAAGUGUGACUGCCAAGAGGAAUGCAGGAAAGCCGGAGAGUCCGAGUGUGUAGCCCUUCCUGCAGCCCGCCACGCACACUGGAAACCCAGAGGAUGGGAAGGGAGC